CAACAGCCAACUGAGCUUCCACAAGUCAUAAAGGUGCAUUUCUGCAGUCUCAUUUCCUCAAGUCUCUCCCUUGAUGGAUGAUGCCCAUUAAUAACCUUCAGUCCCUAUUAGAGGCAGCAACUAUAGAAAAAAAGACCCUCCCUGGCCUUCCUGACCAAGGAUUCCUGUGGAAACCCUCAGAGCUGGACCACCACCCCGAGGAGAACAACAUCUGAAACAAAGUCCUUGGUUCUGGAAUCUGAUGUAACUUUUACAUUUCCACAUCUUUAGCACCCACUAAGUGGAUGUAUCCAUGAUUUCAGGAAACAGAAUGUCCAGGAUAAGAUUUUAAGAGGAAAAAGUCCAUGAGACUUGAGCUCAGCAGCAUCAUACAAGCAGACAUGAUGUUUAGAGAGAUGGAUCCUAAAACAGCAGGCGAAAUUCUUGUGAAAUGAAAAUGGAUCAUCUCCGUGAGAUGUGGAUUUGGAAGCAGCAGAGUGAGAAU